AAAUCAGAUUGAAAUGUGGGAAUUAUAGAAAUGAGGAUGUUAAACCCAUGAAAUUUGAUUGAGUUGUGGGAAAGAUGAAAAUGUUGGUGUUAAACCCAUGAAAUUUGAUUGAAUUGUGGGAAUUAUAGAAAUGAUGAUGCUUAACCCAUGAAAUUUGAUUGAAUUGUGGGAAUGAUGAAAAUGUUGAUGUUAAACCCAUGAAAUUUG
rnacentral:lncRNA from 1 species